rnacentral:rRNA from 1 species
UGAGGAAUAUUGGGCAAUGCCCGCAAGGGUGACCCAGCAACGCCGCGUGGAGGAUGAAUGUCGUAAGAUUGUAAACUCCUGUUAGAGGGGAAGAAUAGUACCGGUUGGACCGGUAUAUGACUGUACCCUCAGAGAAAGCCCCGGCUAACUACGUGCCAGCAGCCGCGGUAAUACGUAGGGGGCAAGCGUUGUCCGGAUUUACUGGGUGUAAAGGGCGCGCAGGCGGGAUAAAAAGUCAGUGGUGAAAUCCUACAGCUUAACUGUAGAACUGCCUUUGAUACUUUUAUUCUUGAGUUCGGGAGAGAGAGACGGAAUUCCAGGUGUAGUGGUGAAAUACGUAGAUAUCUGGAAGAACACCAGUUGCGAAGGCGGUCUCUUGGUCCGACACUGACGCUGAGGCGCGAAAGCGUGGGGAGCAAACG